rfam:Fukomys damarensis contig136315, whole genome shotgun sequence.
GCCAGGCAUGGUGGUGCAUGCCUGUAAUCCCAGCACUUGGGAGGCUGAGGCAGGAGGAUCACUAUGAGUUUGAGAAGAGCCUGGGCUACAUAGUGAGUUCCAGCUCAGUCUCAACUACAUAGUGAGACCCUGUCUCAA